UCGAGAGAUGCGUUGUUGAAAUUUUCAAAUGUAUUGAUGCAUUCGUCUGCGUUUGUGACCUAAUAGGAUAGUUUCUGUCCACAUUUCAUUUUUUUAGAUCUAAUUUCUGUAUUUUUCGCUAAUGGACGAUGUGAUUCACGGUUCUUAAUGGACGAUAUGAUUCACGGUUCUAGAAAUCUCGAUGCAUUGCUGAAACCUUCCAGAAGCAUUGAUCGCUUGUCGUGAAUUCCUGUACCUAUAAUGGUUCCAGAAAAUAGGUAAAAUGUGAUACUCGCGGUAAAACUUUUCCCUUUCUUUUGUUGUGCUAUAUAUAUUUUUCAUUAUGGUCACUCGAUGAACGGAUGAAGUAUGGAAGGAAGUUGCUACCAAAUGAGAACUGGGCACCCAAGGUGUGGAUGAAAUGAGUGGUAUGUUGCAUAAACAGGUGCACAGUUCAGUCACACUCUGAUGCAAUAUGUCUCUCAUUGAAGUUAACAGAAAUAUUUAUUAAUAAAAUACAAAGAAUACAAACAAACAUGGUGUUUGGUUGGCUCAACAGAAAUGGCUGCUCAAAUGUUACUGGAAAACAGAGAAUGUGAGUGCGACGACGUUGGAGGGUUUAAUUUGGAACACCGCCACCAACGAGGGUAACAAUUACAGAAAUCCAUGAUAAGUUCGGUGUCGAAGGAACGGUGCAUGACAUGAAGAAGGGAUGUUGCGGAAGAAACAGACAUUCAACAGGCAAUGGAAGUGUCUAUGGCAUAACAGAGGAAAGGCAUGUCAAUAUACAUUAUUUUGGGACACCCUUUAUAUUCUGUAGUGCCGUUUCUUGUUAACAAUAUCAGCUUAUUCUCAAUUAGCAGCUUUCACUCACUUAAUACUACGCAGAAAUCCAAUCUGCAUUUGGAUCGCGCGUCCUCGACUCGUGUGCAGAAAUGUUUGCGGUAUAAUGCUGCAUAUAUUUUCAGUAAGCUACCACAAGAAUUAAAAAAAUGUUAGCAGGAAUCCAUGCGCUUUCAAGUGGAAAUUGAAGAGUUUCUUCAUGGGUCACUCCUAUUCAGUUGAGGAGUUUCUUGAAAAAUUAAGCUGAUUCCUGUGUUAUAGUGUUGAUUAUGUUACAUUGUUGAUUGUGUUAGAUGUGUUGCAGAUUACGUGGUACCUACCCACAGACUCAGGAAAAGUCCACACUGCAUGGCAUGAAAUUUCUAAAUAAAAUUUGUAAGGGGAAAAGUGACCCAGAUAAAAAUAAUAAUAAUAAUACUGAAGGAGACCAGGAAAAAUAUUCUAAAAGCAAAUGCUACUAUAGUGUAGAAGAUUUGUUGAGAGAUGACCAUGUAAUAUAGUAUCUCUCAACAACAGUAACACCAUAUCUAUUACGACCAUAGAUUUUUUAAAAAAAUGGCAACCAUGUAAAGUAAUACAUAAACUAAUAAAUAAAUGUUGGUCUUUGGUUGUAUGAGGCUUUUAUGUGAGAAUAAAAAUUUGAUUUGAACUGAUAAUACUUGAUGGUAUGUUAAAUUUGUCAUCUGCACUGUUUGCUUUUAUAAAAACAAAGAUGAGGUGACUUACCGAACAAAAG